rnacentral:tRNA from 2 species
GGAGGGAUGGCAGAGCGGCUGAAUGCACUGGUCUUGAAAACCAGCAAGGGUUAAUACCCUUCCAGGGUUCAAAUCCCUGUCCCUCCACCA